rnacentral:rRNA from 1 species
GCCGGCGACCGGCGCACGGGUGAGUAGCGCGUAAUCCAACCUUCCCGUACACUCAGGGAUAGCCUUUCGAAAGAAAGAUUAAUACCCGAUGGCAUAGUUCUUCCGCAUGGUAGAACUAUUAAAGAAUUUCGGUCAUCGAUGGGGAUGCGUUCCAUUAGAUAGUAGGCGGGGUAACGGCCCACCUAGUCUUCGAUGGAUAGGGGGUUCUGAGAGGAAGGUCCCCCACAUUGGAACUGAGACACGGUCCAAACUCCUACGGGAGGCAGCAGUGAGGAAUAUUGGGUCAAUGGGCGCAGGCCUGAACCAGCCAAGUAGCGUGAAGGAUGACUGCCCUAUGGGUUGUAAACUUCUUUUAUAAAGGAAUAAAGUCGGGUAUGUAUACCCGUUUGCAUGUACUUUAUGAAUAAGGAUCGGCUAACUCCGUG